GACGAACGCUGGCGGCGUGCCUAAUACAUGCAAGUAGAACGCUGAAGGAGGAGCUUGCUUCUCUGGAUGAGUUGCGAACGGGUGAGUAACGCGUAGGUAACCUGCCUGGUAGCGGGGGAUAACUAUUGGAAACGAUAGCUAAUACCGCAUAAUAGUAGAUGUUGCAUGACAUUUGCUUAAAAGGUGCAAUUGCAUCACUACCAGAUGGACCUGCGUUGUAUUAGCUAGUUGGUGGGGUAACGGCUCACCAAGGCGACGAUACAUAGCCGACCUGAGAGGGGGAUCGGCCACACUGGGACUGAGACACGGCCCAGACUCCUACGGGAGGCAGCAGUAGGGAAUCUUCGGGAAUGGACGGAAGUCUGACCGAGCAACGCCGCGUGAGUGAAGAAGGUUUUCGGAUCGUAAAGCUCUGUUGUAAGAGAAGAACGAGUGUGAGAGUGGAAAGUUCACACUGUGACGGUAUCUUACCAGAAAGGGACGGCUAACUACGUG
rnacentral:rRNA from 1 species